GGCAAGAUGGCCGAGUGGUUAAGGCGGAGCACGUGAGUAAAAAAAUCUUGUACUUUUCUGUAAGCCUACUUAUUAAUACAUUGUUAGUCAAGAUUACCUUGCCCUUCUGUAGGAUGGUUAACUUUGCUCUGGUGCAAACCUCCAGGGUUCGACUCCCUGUCUUGCCA
rnacentral:tRNA from 1 species